GUGAUCCUCCCACUUUGGCCUCCCAAAGUUCUGGGAUAACAGGUUGGUUGAAGGCUUCUCUACCUGCCCCCCGCCAUGUGACUGUGCGUCUACAGGGACUGAGACAGUCCCCAUCUGACCACUGUACACCCCCAGCCCCGGGUCUGUGCCUGGCGCUCAGCCAGUGCUCAAUGUAUAGCUGAAGGAACGGCAGAAAGUGCCAGAUGGGAGGGCGAAGGGAGUGGUCCGCCAGUCCAGGAGGAGAGGUGGGCCGAGGCAGCAUGCGGACGCCUCGUGGCUCUGGUGCAUGUGGGGAGCUGCACGCUGCAGGCUGGGCGGGGUGUGUGAGCAGAGAGCCCGGGGGCUGGCUGGGUGGAAGCUGCAGGUACCCAGACGAAGGAGGGAGGGUCUUUGGAAGCAGAGAAGUGGGCAGGAGGAUGGACUCCCUGAGCAGAAGUGCAGCUAUAUGGCCAGUUGGAGGUGGGGCUGAGGGACAGGAGGCAUUAAUGACCCAUGGUCAAAUUCAAAGGCAUGCGCAUUCACAGCCUGGGAAGGCUGGAGUCUUGCAGGAGACAGCAGCCAGAGCCCAACGGUGUCCCGGUGUCCUUGCUGAGAGGCGAGCUCCUGGGACAGGCGUGACCUGAGCCCCAGCUAGAUCAUCUGCAUGAUUUGCAAUUUCCAGGGUCCAGCUCUGCUGGAGGAGAGAGGCCUUUCUCACAGUCAGGCUUGGCAUUCCGCCAGCUGCCUCCUUCUCCGAGAUUCUAAAUGCGGGCUUGUCACAGCGUGUCUGCGUGCAAGCGCACGAGCACACAUCUGUGUGUGCGUGGGUGUCUGCGGUGCUGUGGGCAGCGUGGGGGUGGCAUCUCUUAGCAAGCCCGUGGCCAUUCCCACCCCAUGGUUCUUUUUAUAUCUCACAUUUACAGACAGCCUGGACCUCAGAGCCGCGGGCUGUCACUGGGCUGUUUGAGGCUUCGAGGGAAGGGGUGGCUGGCUGAGAGGUGGGGGCGUCUGAAACCCAGGCACGGAAGAGGAUGGCUGGGUAGGGGGCGGUUGCUGGCUUCCUUCCAUUGACUCCGACUGCAUACAGCACAGGGCUGCAGACCUGCAGCGUCAGAUGGUGCUGAGCUAUAUUUAAAGGCGACUUUUUCCGCCUCUACUGCCCAGUUCGUACCAGGGAGGCUGGGGCAUCUCCCUGAGAAGAAAUCCUGGCUGGGUCCCUGCUGACCUUGGCUUCUCCCUGGCUAGGCCACCCUUCCCCGCCCCUGCCCAGCUCUGCACCACAUUGGAAGCCCAGUGAGUGGCCCCUGACUUAGGGGUACCCACAAGGAGCUGAAGGCCAGUGACAGCCCCUACAUGUAUGUAGUGACCUCUGUAGCCAGAUAACUUCUGUGGGAUUCUAAGGCCACCCACCUCCUCCUGGAGGUGCACGUUCAUAUCCCUUGCUUUUUUUUUUUUUUUUAAUAAAGACUGUGUUUUGGCCUGGC